GACUAAGCAUAUCAAUAAGCGGAGGAAAAGAAACUAACAAGGAUUCCCCUAGUAACUGCGAGUGAAGCGGGAAAAGCUCAAAUUUAAAAUCUGGCAGUCUCUGGCUGUCCGAGUUGUAAUCUAGAGAAGUAAUGCCCGUGCUGGACCGUGUAUAAGUCUCCUGGGAUGGGGCGUCAUAGAGGGUGAGAAUCCCGUCUUUGACACGGACUACCAGUGCAUUGUGGUAUGCUCUCAAAGAGUCGAGUUGUUUGGGAAUGCAGCUCAAAAUGGGUGGUAAAUUCCAUCUAAAGCUAAAUAUUGGCGAGAGACCGAUAGCGAACAAGUACCGUGAGGGAAAGAUGAAAAGAACUUUGGAAAGAGAGUUAAACAGUACGUGAAAUUGCUGAAAGGGAAACGCUUGAAGUCAGUCGCGUUGGCCGGGAAUCAGCCUUGCUUUUGCAUGGUGUACUUUCUGGUUGACGGGUCAGCAUCAAUUUUGACCGCUGGAAAAAGGCCUGGGGAAUGUGGCAGCUUCGGCUGUGUUAUAGCCCCUAGUCACAUACAGUGGUUGGGAUUGAGGAACUCAGCACGCCGCAAGGCCGGGUUUCGACCACGUUCGUGCUUAGGAUGCUGGCAUAAUGGCUUUAAGCGACCCGUCUUGAAACACGGACCAAGGAGUCUAACAUGCCUGCGAGUAUUUGGGUGGAAAACCCAAGUGCGUAAUGAAAGUGAAAGUUGAGAUCCCUGUCGUGGGGAGCAUCGAYGCCCGGACCAGAACUUUUGGGACGGAUCCGCGGUGGAGCAUGUAUGUUGGGACCCGAAAGAUGGUGAACUAUGCCUGAAUAGGGUGAAGCCAGAGGAAACUCUGGUGGAGGCUCGUAGCGAUUCUGACGUGCAAAUCGAUCGUCAAAUUUGGGUAUAGGGGCGAAAGACUAAUCGAACCAUCUAGUAGCUGGUUCCUGCCG
rnacentral:rRNA from 1 species